CAGGAGAGAUCAGAGGAGAUCAGGAGAGAUCAAGAGAGAUCAGGAGAGAUCAGGAGAGAUCAGGAUAACUUCCGUAAUAGCAUUUUGGAUCAAAUGUAUUUCUUUCAGAGAUUUUAUGUCCCAGGUAUCCUGUAAAGCACUUAGGAUGCUGUAUGAGAAAUAUUUUCCAGAUUUUGUACUGUUUCAGUACAAUUUGGAUAAGUACAAACAGAUGGCAAACCAUGGCAGAGGUUGUACAGAUUUAUAACUCAGAAAUUGUAUAUAUUGUACUUUGCACAGGAUGUUCCAAUAAAAUUAAACCCAGUGA